rnacentral:rRNA from 1 species
UUCGCCCUUAGGGUUUGAUUAUGGCUCAGGACGAACGCUGGCGGCGUGCCUAAUACAUGCAAGUCGAGCGCAGGAAACCAGAUGACCCCUUCGGGGUGAUUCUGGCGGAAUGAGCGGCGGACGGGUGAGUAACACGUGGGCAACCUGCCUGUAAGACUGGGAUAACUUCGGGAAACCGGAGCUAAUACCGGAUAGUAUUUCCUUUCUCCUGAUCGGAAAUGGAAAGACGGUUUCGGCUGUCACUUACAGAUGGGCCCGCGGUGCAUUAGCUAGUUGGUGGGGUAAUGGCCCACCAAGGCGACGAUGCAUAGCCGACCUGAGAGGGUGAUCGGCCACACUGGGACUGAGACACGGCCCAGACUCCUACGGGAGGCAGCAGUAGGGAAUCUUCCGCAAUGGACGAAAGUCUGACGGAGCAACGCCGCGUGAGCGAUGAAGGCCUUCGGGUCGUAAAGCUCUGUUGUCAGGGAAGAACAAGUGCUAGUUGAAUAAGCUGGCACCUUGACGGUACCUAACCAGAAAGCCACGGCUAACUACGUGCCAGCAGCCGCGGUAAUACGUAGGUGGCAAGCGUUAUCCGGAAUUAUUGGGCGUAAAGCGCGCGCAGGUGGUUUCUUAAGUCUGAUGUGAAAGCCCACGGCUCAACCGUGGAGGGUCAUUGGAAACUGGGAGACUUGAGUGCAGAAGAGGAAAGUGGAAUUCCAUGAGUAGCGGUGAAAUGCGUAGAGAUAUGGAGGAACACCAGUGGCGAAGGCGACUUUCUGGUCUGUAACUGACACUGAGGCGCGAAAGCGUGGGGAGCAAACAGGAUUAGAUACCCUGGUAGUCCACGCCGUANACGAUGAGUGCUAAGUGUUAGAGGGUUUCCGCCCUUUAGUGCUNGAGUUAAACGCAUUAGCACUCCGCCUGGGGAGUACGGCCCGCAGGCUGAAACUCAAAGGAAUUGACGGGGGCCCGCACAGCGGUGGAAGCAUGUGGUUAAUUCGAAGCAACGCGAGAACCUUUACAGGUCUGACAUCUCUGACACCCUAGAGAUAGGCUCUCUUUCGGACAAAUGACAGUGGUGCAUGGU